GACGAACGCUGGCGGCGUGCUUAACACAUGCAAGUCGAGCGGUAAGGCCCUUUCGGGGGUACGACGAGCGGCGAACGGGUGAGUAACACGUGGGUGACCUGCCCUCCAGCUCUGGGAUAAGCCUGGGAAACUGGGUCUAAUACUGGAUAUGACUCCACGGUGCAUGUCGUGGGGUGGAAAGCCUUGUGCGGCUGAGGAUGGGCCCGCGGCCUAUCAGCUUGUUGGUGGGGUGANGGCCUACCAAGGCGACGACGGGUAGCCGGCCUGAGAGGGCGACCGGCCACACUGGGACUGAGACACGGCCCAGACUCCUACGGGAGGCAGCAGUGGGGAAUCUUGCGCAAUGGGCGAAAGCCUGACGCAGCGACGCCGCGUGAGGGAUGACGGCC
rnacentral:rRNA from 1 species